UACGUAGGGUGCGAGCGUUGUCCGGAAUUAUUGGGCGUAAAGAGCUCGUAGGCGGUUUGUCGCGUCUGCUGUGAAAUCUGGGGGCUCAACCCCCAGCCUGCAGUGGGUACGGGCAGACUAGAGUGUGGUAGGGGAGAUCGGAAUUCCUGGUGUAGCGGUGAAAUGCGCAGAUAUCAGGAGGAACACCGGUGGCGAAGGCGGAUCUCUGGGCCAUUACUGACGCUGAGGAGCGAAAGCGUGGGGAGCGAACAGG
rnacentral:rRNA from 1 species